UCCUCUCUGGACAGGCGGCGGGUGCGGAGUCAUGGAUUCGGCUUCGUGCGGAUUGCUGGCUUCACCUGGCGUGUGACGAGCCGUGGGAUUCAGCUCUGUGGAAAACACAAAGCAAGCCUGGGAGAGUGGUGAACAGAUGGAUGAGGGACAAAAUCAUGUCCGUUUCUCAACCCUGAGAACUGCCCAAGGUGACUCUACUUCUCGCUCUCCUUCAGUAACCUCAAAUCUGCAGAUUCAACAAAACUGAGAUGUUGGGAUUCUGGGCAAUCAACAAUGGCCACUCAAAAGACCUGCUAUGUUACACUAGCCUCCCAGCAUGUAUGCUUCAAAUACUAAAAUUAAAGUGCUAUAUGGUUGUGUUGUAUCUGGUCCCUUAGGAUUAGUUGUGAAUAAAGUCAAUCACAAACUCAAUUAUAUGUAAUGAUUUCAUAUAAAGUAGUUUAACAUUAAAUACCUCAGUUCUUUUACUACUAAUCAAAUGAGUAAAAAUAUGAACAUUUAAAUGAACUAAAGGGAGAUGGUGAUUUGUCAGUUGAGGUAUUUGAAAAGCCCCACUUGUUUGAAACACAUGUGAACAGUUACAACUCUUUCUUGACCAAUACAGUACUCUCUACUAUACUUUAACUUUUAUGUAUGACUCAGAACAGGAAGUUGUUGGUUGGAAAGCUACUACUUGUCUCUCUAAAUCCCUUCUGUAAGCAAUAAAGUAACAGUGAUAGAUAUAUGAUAAAACUAGCAUAGUAAAAUGUUAAUGGUAGAACCUAGGUAGUGGAUAUACUGAUAUCUACUGUAAAAUUCUUUCAACUUUGCUGUAUCCUGGAAAUCUUUCAUAAUAAAAUAUUGGGGAAAAAUUC